GCCGAUGUAGCUCAGUUGGCAGAGCACGGUCUUGGUAAGACCGGGGUCCACGGUUCAAUUCCGUGCAUCGGCUCCA
rnacentral:tRNA from 1 species